AUUCCAGACAGGUGUGUUGGAGCAGGGUUGGAGAUCCCUGAAAUAAAUUCAUGCAGGCAUCUCGUGCUUUUUUGGUCUCGGGACACGCACAGCAUGGUUUCAGAGGUUUCUUCUGCUCCGCCCCCUCUGUUGCUGCUGAAGCCUCCACACUGGCUGCUGACAGGCUCGACAUUUCCUCUUUCAAACGCUGUCUGAAGAAAAAAAAAACAAGCAGGGGACAUAUUAUUUAUCAACUCUAAACUUCCGUUUCAACAUAACAUUUUGAACAGCCAGCAGUGUGCCGCAAACUAGCCACCAUAUUACUAGUUACAUCAUGUCCUCUGCUGUGUGUUGUAAUACUAACGUUAGCUGUUACACCUCGCUGUCAAAGAUGCUGUGUCUUAUCGGAUGUAAGAAAUAUUUAAAUCGUGCUGUCAGGUAAUAAAAUAAAAACAUGUCUCUAACAAACUUGUACUCACGCUAUGUUCUGUAGAGACCGGUGUGCUCACGUGUGUCCUUCCUUACACAGCCUGCUACUGUCAAACAGCGGAAGUGUCUCGUAGCUUCCGGGUCAGUACAUUUAAAUAAAAAAACAAUUAAAUUAACAACUAAGCUACAGCCAUUUAUUAACUAAAUAUGAUUUACAUUCACACACAGUUUAAUGGCUAAAGUUAAAUGAAACGCGAUUCGAUUUAAAAUCAGAGCAAAGCAACAUGACGAACAAUAAAACACAAUAAAAGUCUUGUACAGAAUAAAAGUCAUUUAAAAGUCUAGGUUUAUUAAUAUUGUUUUCAUUAUUAUAAUAUUUUUUUAUUAUUAGCUAACUUUUCAGUGAAUUAAUUUUAAUACAUAUUUUAAUAGAAUUGUAAUUACAAUCAUAUUUCUAAUUUGUGUCAGAAGAGUAUUAUAAACAAUAUUUUGCAGGCAAACUACUUUUCAUUCAUGCAGCUUACAAAAGAAAAUAUGUUCAUACUGAUUCAGCUUACUUCAUGGAUGACUUCGAUACUGAAGAUGAUAUUUUUUUGUGAGAAUUAUAGGUGUAAUCCAUCUAAGAUUGUUGCUCUGUUUAUUCAGAACAACUACAUUGGCUUAUGUUUUUCACAAACUGCUCAAAAGACACUAGACCUUAGAUCUGUUUUGCAUUCUGUACAUAAGUGGAAACAUGGGCACAUAUAGCUUUCAUGUAGACCUUGCUUCUAAUGUGUAACAGUUACGUCUCUGUACAGAAAAUAAAGUGAUUUCAGGAUUA